GAUGAACGCUGGCGGUAUGCUUAACACAUGCAAGUCGAACGGUCUCUUCGGAGAUAGUGGCGGACGGGUGAAUAACGCGUGAGAAUCUGGCUUCAGGUCGGGGACAACCACGGGAAACUGUGGCUAAUACCGGAUAUGCCGAGAGGUGAAAGGCUUGCUGCCUGAAGAUGAGCUCGCGUCUGAUUAGCUAGUAGGUGUGGUAAAAGCGCACCUAGGCGACGAUCAGUAGCUGGUCUGAGAGGAUGAUCAGCCACACUGGGACUGAGACACGGCCCAGACUCCUACGGGAGGCAGCAGUGGGGAAUUUUCCGCAAUGGGCGAAAGCCUGACGGAGCAAUACCGCGUGAGGGAGGAAGGCUCUUGGGUUGUAAACCUCUUUUCUCAGGGAAGAAAAAAAUGACGGUACUG
rnacentral:rRNA from 1 species